AAAGAGGAGUGGCGGACGGGUGAGUAACACGUGGGUAACCUACCCAUCAGAGGGGGAUAACACUUGGAAACAGGUGCUAAUACCGCAUAACAGUUUAUGCCGCAUGGCAUAAGAGUGAAAGGCGCUUUCGGGUGUCGCUGAUGGAUGGACCCGCGGUGCAUUAGCUAGUUGGUGAGGUAACGGCUCACCAAGGCCACGAUGCAUAGCCGACCUGAGAGGGUGAUCGGCCACACUGGGACUGAGACACGGCCCAGACUCCUACGGGAGGCAGCAGUAGGGAAUCUUCGGCAAUGGACGAAAGUCUGACCGAGCAACGCCGCGUGAGUGAAGAAGGUUUUCGGAUCGUAAAACUCUGUUGUUAGAGAAGAACAAGGACGUUAGUAACUGAACGUCCCCUGACGGUAUCUAACCAGAAAGCCACGGCUAACUACGUGCCAGCAGCCGCGGUAAUACGUAGGUGGCAAGCGUUGUCCGGAUUUAUUGGGCGUAAAGCGAGCGCAGGCGGUUUCUUAAGUCUGAUGUGAAAGCCCCCGGCUCAACCGGGGAGGGUCAUUGGAAACUGGGAGA
rnacentral:rRNA from 1 species